AGAGUUUGAUCCUGGCUCAGAGUGAACGCUGGCGGCAGGCCUAAUACAUGCAAGUCGAACGGCAGCACAGCAGAGCUUGCUCUGUGGGUGGCGAGUGGCGACGGGUGAGGAAUACAUGGGAAUCUGCCCAGUCGUGGGGGAUAACGUAGGGAAACUUACGCUAAUACCGCAUGCGCCCUUCGGGGGAAAGCCGGGGACCGUAAGGCCUGGCGCGAUUGGAUGAGCCCAUGUCGGAUUAGCUAGUUGGCGGGUAAAGGCCCACCAAGGCGACGAUCCGUAGCUGGUCUGAGAGGAUGAUCAGCCACACUGGAACUGAGACACGGUCCAGACUCCUACGGGAGGCAGCAGUAGGGAAUAUUGGACAAUGGGCGCAAGCCUGAUCCAGCCAUGCCGCGUGAGUGAAGAAGGCCCUCGGGUUGUAAAGCUCUUUUGUCCGGAAAGAAAAGCGCCGGGUUAAUACCCUGGUGUCCUGACGGUACCGGAAGAAUAAGCACCGGCUAACUUCGUG
rnacentral:rRNA from 1 species